UCUCUCUCCCUUUUUGUCAUUAUCAAAAAGUAGGGAUAAUUUUGCAGGAUAUAUAAUUCAAUCACAAUCAAUUCAAUGUACUGACAUAUCUCAUCCAAAUCUUCAAACAUUUACACUACAAGGAUAUAUAUUGAUUGGAAGAAAAGUAAAGCUUAAUAUUGACAAACAUAAAAAAGAUUUACAUCAAAAAAUGUCUAUCCUUUACAAAAAGUGAUAUAACUAGGAUCAGAUAGAA
rnacentral:lncRNA from 1 species